rnacentral:rRNA from 1 species
AUACGUAGGUGACAAGCGUUAUCCGGAUUUACUGGGCGUAAAGGGCGUGUAGGCGGUCUUGCAAGUCAGAAGUGAAAUUCCUGAGCUCAACUCGGGCGCUGCUUCUGAAACUGCAGGACUUGAGUGCUGGAGGGGAUAGCGGAAUUCCUAGUGGAGCGGUAAAAUGCGCAGAUAUUAGGAAGAACACCGGUGGCGAAGGCGGCUAUCGGGACAGUAACUGACGCUGAGGCGCGAAAGCGUGGGGAGCAAACAGGAUUAGAUCCCCGGGUAGUCCACGCCGUAAACGAUGAAUACUAGGUGUAGGGGGUAUCGACUCCCUCUGUGCCGCAGUUAACACAAUAAGUAUUCCGCCUGGGGAGUACGGCCGCAAGGUUGAAACUCAAAGGAAUUGACGGGG